CAACCCUCAGGCCCCCAGUGCCUGGCGUUGGGGAUCGGCGUGGGCGGCGGACGGCUCUCCGGAGCCCGAGGCCAAUGCCUGCCGGCCCCGAAAUUCAGUGGCGGUCUCGCUGUAGUCCCCCUCUGCGUAGUAGCACAACUCGCAUUGGAGCUCGGCGGUGGCCAUGCCGUAAAACACCCCACUUCUGAA
rnacentral:misc_RNA from 3 species